rnacentral:lncRNA from 1 species
AUGGCAGGCUUCUGGGAGGUGGAAGGGCUCGUGGUGCUUACAGGGGCGACCAGGCCCUGGGGAGGGGGGCUGGUGAGGGAGAGGCUCCCUGAGCUAGAAUGGAGGAGUUGGGCGCUGGAGCUGAGGAGCCAGCUGACCAGGAGGGCUCAGGAUGGGGUGGCUGUGGCAAGGAUGCUGAAGUCUCGGGGUGGGGGGGAAUUGGGCAGGAAGGCCACCUCCACACUGGGCAGCCCCCCGUCCUUCCCUCCGCUCCUCCCACUCGCUCCAGGCAGCUGGCAGAGGGGAGGCAAGGAGGCAGGGCAGGGAGGGGGGAAUCUGAGUCUUGAUUUUUUUCAACUAACAAUAAAUAAAUACGGUACACAGUGUUUUUGCCACGGCCUGGCACGACCUCUAAGCACAAAUGGUCACGAAACAGCUGGUUUGGAAAGCAGUCUGUACAGCCCGCCAGCUGCGGAGUCGGGGUGGGGGCCCGGGCCCCUGGACCAUGCUCUGGGGGGGGGGGGGAGGUGAAGCAGUAGGGAGAUGGAGACACCUCGGAUAAGAGGGAGAGGUGGGGCCUGAGGCUUUCCUGGAAGGGACAGCCAGAGACGGAGCCUCGGGGUGAGCCUGUAGUCCUGGAGGGGCCCACCCCAAGCCUGUGCCCUGGGACGCCCUCCUGUGGCUCUCUAGCCACCUGCAGUAACUCGAGCUGGUUCUCUGAGCUAGGCUGACAUCUGCCCAGGGGCCAGGAGUCGCACGCACUUUCCCUGUCUUCUCUGGGCUGGUGGGACUGGCUCAGUUGAACGAGGAAGUAUUGACAAAGAUCUGAGGGAAGCCAGCUGAGCCUGAGGUGAGCCUGGCUCCAGGGCAGACUUGCCCCUUAGGAGGUCAGGGGAGGCUUCCUGGAGGAGGUGGUGAUGUCCAGAGCUGUUGGAUCCCAAGGCCCACUGACAGUCAGUCACCUGCAUCCAGGGACUGCGAAAGGUGUCAGUCCCCAUGCCUCAUCUAGAUGAGACUGUUUUCAUUUGAGAAAUGGACCUUCCCGGACCUGAUCCCAGAAGGCAAACCAAAAAUCCCUUCUGUCUCCCAGAGUCUCCACCACUCCUUGGUCCCCCCACCCAAGUCUCUUCUGAUGCUCCUGUGGCUGUUGGAUUCAACUUCCAGAUCCCAGACCCCAGAUCCCGGGUCAACGGAUCCCCCCAGUACCUGUCUGCUUGCCUCAUCAGGGUGAGGUGCUUCACCUGGAUUCAGGGCUCUCAGCCCUGCCUCCCGUGGAACCAGGGCCCACGGCCCCACUGUCCGCCUCAGCUCACUCUGUUGCCUUGUUCAACGAGCCUUCCUGGGCCAGGCUACCACCCUCCUCACUUUUUUCCCACCAAAAGCCUUCUCCAUUGCCCCAGCUCAGAUAGAUCACCCCCACACCCCCGCCAAGGAUGAUGGGCACUGACUCCUCCGCAAACCAAUCCUACCUGGCACCUAUAGACGACCUCCUACCCCUUACCACAGGGAAAAGAGACACACCUGAGGAAUCUUCACCCCAGUUUCCAGAUGCAGUUUCUCUAGCAGGGGUAGAGAGUUCAGGGCUGAGCCACAAAGGGUUGGGGACCAUGACUCGGAAUCUGUGCCCUCCGCUCGCCCUGAGCCCCCGACACUACAUGAAGGCACAGCAGUGGGGCGACCUCAGAGGCUGGCACCAUAACUCAAGACCUUCUCAACUAGAAGGGACCCAUUCUAUUUAUUCUAUUUGCUGGGAAACUGGGGCCCGAGACUGGCCAUGCCCGUGCAGAGGCCUCUACACGCACCACUCAUCACGCCAUAGCAAGGCAACAGUGAUUUCCCAACUCAUCCACUAUACCCUAUACCUUUGAGAGCCUUCUUGCAGUUGUCAGGUUAGCUAGAAACUUCCGCCCUGCAAGGCCCAGUGAGCACAGACAUGCAGAAUGUUACAGCUCCACGGGACACUACAGGCCAUCUAACCCAGACAGAGAAACAGGCCCAGAGGGGCUCCCGGCGGCCUCAAGGCCACACUGCUUGGGAGGGAGUUUGCUGAGCUGGGUUCCCGGCCAUGAACAGGAACACCCCUUCCCAUGGCAGGCCCAGCUGGCCCGAAGUCCCCGCUGCGGCCGCCGGCCCUGGGACCCCACGUCAGGAGAGGCCAAGCCUACGCACUGUGGUGUGGUUCGCACUUACUGUGAUCAGGAGUUCGAGUUCAGCCUUCCUUCCUGACUCAGGCUCACCCUGCGAUGGACUCUUCCCCCUGAGCCUGGGGACCAGGGAGUGGGGGAGGAGGCCUGUCCCCAUUCCUCUGCAGAGGCCUCUCUUUCUCUCGGGGCGCCCCGUCCCUGGCGGCCUCCCAUGGCCAGAGGAGCCUCACCAGCUGGAGCCCCGAGGUCAGUCCCGGCUGACGCUGGCAGCAGGCCUGUGUCCUGGGGCUCUUAUGGGCAGCGGUGCGGCCUUCUGCUGCCAGCCUCAGCCUGACCCCUGCCUCCACUCCCCUCCUCCUCCACCUUGGGAUGGGGCCUCAAAGCUGAGGAGAGAGAGAAGAGAGCGCGACGCAUGAGCCCUUCUAGAUGCUGGGCCUGAGGGAGGGCGGCUGAGGGGGCAAGGGCCAGCUCCGGGCGGGCGGCGGGGCCUCCAGGCCUCCAGCCAGGGCCUCGCCGCCGCCACUGGGGGCAGAAAGGGACCCACAGCCGAGAGAGGGGCCGGUGCAGGGAGGAGACGGCAGCGGGGAAGGAGCAGGAGAGGAGGGACGGGGAGAAGCCGAAUUACUACGACUAAAAAGUCACAAUCCCAAACAAAACGAAGCCUGUGGACUGACACCACCACACAGCCAGCACCAAGAGAGAAAGUGGGAGCGGGCAGGAGGGGGGCACGGGGGGGGGGCAACAGGACAGAGGCAGCGCAGGGGAGAGGAAGACAGAGAGGAGAGCCCCGUGGGCGCCAUAGGGGAGGCAAGGGCUACAGGGGGCCUGGGGCAGGCGGGGGCCUGAAAAUAUAGCUUUAUAUAUUUAUAUUUAUAUGUCACAUUCCACACAGCAACUCACUAGGGGGCAGAGGGGAGGCAGGGCGGCGGGCAGGGAGGAGGCCGUGCAGGGGGCAGGAUGUGGCCAUGGAGGGCCUCGCUCCCCGCGGAAGGCCGCAGGCGCCCUGGCCUGCCCACCCCCGACUCGGGCCUCCCCGGGAUCCGAGCAGGGCCAUGCAGAGGGUGUGCAAGCGCGGGCCUCACCUGGGGCGGGGGCUUGGGGAGGGGACAGCGAGCAGGACCCCAAGGCCCCCGGGCUCCCUGGGCUCGUGGAGGUAACUCCUUGGGGCGCCCGGGACCCCCAC